ACGCUGGCGGCAGGCCUAACACAUGCAAGUCGAGCGGUAGAGAGAAGCUUGCUUCUCUUGAGAGCGGCGGACGGGUGAGUAAUGCCUAGGAAUCUGCCUGGUAGUGGGGGAUAACGUCCGGAAACGGACGCUAAUACCGCAUACGUCCUACGGGAGAAAGCAGGGGACCUUCGGGCCUUGCGCUAUCAGAUGAGCCUAGGUCGGAUUAGCUAGUUGGUGGGGUAAUGGCUCACCAAGGCGACGAUCCGUAACUGGUCUGAGAGGAUGAUCAGUCACACUGGAACUGAGACACGGUCCAGACUCCUACGGGAGGCAGCAGUGGGGAAUAUUGGACAAUGGGCGAAAGCCUGAUCCAGCCAUGCCGCGUGUGUGAAGAAGGUCUUCGGAUUGUAAAGCACUUUAAGUUGGGAGGAAGGGCAGUUACUUAAUACGUGAUUGUUUUGACGUUACCGACAGAAUAAGCACCGGCUAACUCUGUGCCAGCAGCCGCGGUAAUACAGAGGGUGCAAGCGUUAAUCGGAAUUACUGGGCGUAAAGCGCGCGUAGGUGGUUCAUUAAGUUGGAUGUGAAAUCCCCGGGCUCAACCUGGGAACUGCAUUCAAAACUGACGAGCUAGAGUAUGGUAGAGGGUGGUGGAAUUUCCUGUGUAGCGGUGAAAUGCGUAGAUAUAGGAAGGAACACCAGUGGCGAAGGCGACCACCUGGACUGAUACUGACACUGAGGUGCGAAAGCGUGGGGAGCAAAC
rnacentral:rRNA from 1 species